rnacentral:rRNA from 1 species
CCUACGGGUGGCAGCAGUGAGGAAUAUUGGUCAAUGGGCGCGAGCCUGAACCAGCCAAGUAGCGUGAAGGAUGACUGCCCUACGGGUUGUAAACUUCUGUUAUAAAGGAAUAAAGUGAGGCACGUGUGCCGUUUUGUAUGUACUUUAUGAAUAAGGAUCGGCUAACUCCGUGCCAGCAGCCGCGGUAAUACGGAGGAUCCGAGCGUUAUCCGGAUUUAUUGGGGUUAAAGGGAGCGUAGAUGGGUUGUUAAGUCAGUUGUGAAAGUUUGCGGCUCAACCGUAAAAUUGCAAUUGAUACUGGCAGUCUUGAGUACAGUUGAGGUAGGCGGAAUUCGUGUUGUAGCGGUGAAAUGCUUAGAUAUCACGAAGAACUCCGAUUGCGAAGGCAGCUUACCAAGCUACUUCUGACGUUGAGGCACGACAGCGUGGGGAGCAAACAGGAUUAGAUACCCCUGUAGUC